rnacentral:pre_miRNA from 15 species
ACACAUUUCAUUCGCGCCUGUAUCUUGCUGAACCGCUGCCAUUAUGGCCAACGAUCCGGUUGAGCAAAAUUUCAGGUGUGUGAGAAAUGUGUUUAGCA